GAUGAACGCUGGCGGCGUGCCUAAUACAUGCAAGUCGAGCGAACGGACGAGAAGCUUGCUUCUCUGAUGUUAGCGGCGGACGGGUGAGUAACACGUGGAUAACCUACCUAUAAGACUGGGAUAACUUCGGGAAACCGGAGCUAAUACCGGAUAAUAUCUUGAACCGCAUGGUUCAAAAGUGAAAGACGGUCUUGCUGUCACUUAUAGAUGGAUCCGCGCUGCAUUAGCUAGUUGGUAAGGUAACGGCUUACCAAGGCAACGAUGCAUAGCCGACCUGAGAGGGUGAUCGGCCACCCUGGAACUGAGACACGGUCCAGACUCCUACGGGAGGCAGCAGUAGGGAAUCUUCCGCAAUGGGCGAAAGCCUGACGGAGCAACGCCGCGUGAGUGAUGAAGGUCUUCGGAUCGUAAAACUCUGUUAUUAGGGAAGAACAUAUGUGUAAGUAACUGUGCACAUCUUGACGGUACCUAAUCAGAAAGCCACGGCUAACUACGUG
rnacentral:rRNA from 1 species